UACAGAGGUCUCGAGCGUUGUUCGGAUUCAUUGGGCGUAAAGGUGCGUAGGUGGCGCUGUAAGUCGGGUGUGAAAUCCUGAGGCUUAACCUCGGAACUGCAUUCGAUACUGCGGCGCUUGAGGACUGGAGAGGAGACUGGAAUUCAUGGUGUAGCAGUGAAAUGCGUAGAGAUCAUGAGGAAGACCAGUGGCGAAGGCGGGUCUCUGGACAGUUCCUGACACUGAGGCACGAAGGCCAGGGGAGCAAACGGG
rnacentral:rRNA from 1 species